rnacentral:rRNA from 1 species
UACGUAGGGUGCGAGCGUUAAUCGGAAUUACUGGGCGUAAAGCGUGCGUAGGCGGUUCGCUGUGUCCGAUGUGAAAGCCCCGGGCUUAACCUGGGAAUGGCAUUGGAAACUGGCGGGCUUGAGUGCGGCAGAGGGGGGUGGAAUUCCGCGUGUAGCAGUGAAAUGCGUAGAGAUGCGGAGGAACAUCGAUGGCGAAGGCAGCCCCCUGGGUCGACACUGACGCUCAGGCACGAAAGCGUGGGGAGCAAACAGG